ACUUCAACAAAAAGUAAAAUGGAUUUUAUCAUACUUGGAAAAUCAACAAUUGCAGUCUGGAUUCAUACAUCACUGUCUGAUGCACCCAACUUGAGUCAAAAAGAUGUUUCAAAUCCCACUAGGCUGGAGGCAAAAAUACUCAAGAGUUUAAGAGCGUCUCUUGACAGUGUACAGAAUAAGAUAGCUUCUCAGCUUUCAGCUUUACUUCACGGUUUUAACUAUCAAAAGAAGCGAGACUGAAGGAUCCACUUCUGCGACGACUCCCUCAGACUUAUAAUGCAGAUGGAACCAGAUUGAGAAAAACCAACCAACCAACCAACCAACCAACCAACCAACCAACCGACAAACAUGAUGGCUGAACCAGACAAGAGAAGUCCUGAAGUAAAAUACCCAUCAAUUACCAGAAUCUGUGCCUGUCAUACAUCGAAGGUAUUGUAUCCAUGAUGGCAUGCUGCUUUUUGUGGUGUUUUGAUUGACGUCACAAUAUCCCAGCAGUUCUUCC
rnacentral:lncRNA from 1 species